ACUGAUUGCUUGGAGCUCUGAUUGCUUACCUUGUCUGUCACCUCUUUCAGCAGAUCCCCUAGCUCAGCGACUUGGGGGACUCCUACUACAUGGUUUGUAUCGCGCUUGACCAAGCCUGAAACUACAAGUAAGCGUCAAGUGAAAUUGAUACAUUACCUUGUGAAUCUCCACCAGUUAAAGAUACCACCCCUGGAGGGAGGAAGAGUACCCCAAAGAAGAUGCCACAUCUACCUAUGAGACAGAUAAGGCAAGUGAAGACGAUACCACUCUUCGGUACUUAAAAGUUUCGUGAUUACGAGAUCAUUCUUCCACAAUAUUUCCUAAUG
rnacentral:lncRNA from 1 species